GUAACGGCGAGUGAAGCGGUAAUAGCUCAAAUUUGAAAUCUGGCCUCUCGGGGUCCGAGUUGUAAUUUGUAGAGGAUGUUUUGGGUACCGCCCCGGUCUAAAUUUCUUGGAACAGAAUGUCAAAGAGGGUGAGAAUCCCGUCUUGGACCGGCGGUAGGGCCUGUGUAAAACUCCUUCGACGAGUCGAGUUGUUUGGGA
rnacentral:rRNA from 1 species